rnacentral:rRNA from 1 species
GUCCACGCCCUAAACGAUGCGUGCUCGGUGUGGGAGCGUUCAAUCUGCUCCCGUGCCUUAAGCUUACGCGGUAAGCACGCCGCCUGGGAAGUACGGCCGCAAGGCUAAAACUCAAAGGAAUAGACGGGGACCCCACACAAGCGGUGGAGCAUGGGGUUUAAUUCGAUGGUAAGCGAAGCACCUCACCCAGACUUGACAUCCGGAGAAUCCUGCAGAAAUGUGGGAGUGCCGUAAGGAACUCCGAGACAGGCGCUGCACGGUCGUCGU